rnacentral:lncRNA from 1 species
AGGAUGCUUCCACAGACCUUCUCCUUUCGCAAUCCCUUGCCCUCAUUGAUACUGGAAGGAUAAGGGCAGCGCCGUCCAUCUCGGAAUGCGAUGCAGUCGAUCUCAUGCGGGGCCCCAAGCUUCAACAGGGCUUUGCGCUUUGCUUCUUGCUGACCAGGUCGCCAGAUGUAUGGGAGUUGCCCCAAAUCUUCCAGUGCCUGGUAAGCCUGGCCAGCAGCCGACUCAGUUGCAAAGGUGAUGUUGCAGGCCU